AGAGCGAACGCUGGCGGCAGGCUUAACACAUGCAAGUCGAGCGCCCCGCAAGGGGAGCGGCAGACGGGAGAGUAACACGUGGGAACGUACCUUUCGGUUCGGAACAACCCAGGGAAACUUGGGCUAAUACCGGAUACGCCCGUAAGGGGAAAGAUUAUCGCCGGAAGAUCGGCCCGCGUCUGAUUAGCUAGUUGGUGAGGUAACGGCUCACCAAGGCGACGAUCAGUAGCUGGUCUGAGAGGAUGAUCAGCCUCACUGGGACUGAGACACGGCCCAGACUCCUACGGGAGGCAGCAGUGGGGAAUAUUGGACAAUGGGCGCAAGCCUGAUCCAGCCAUGCCGCGUGGGUGAUGAAGGCCCUAGGGUUGUAAAGCCCUUUCGGCGGGGGAAGAGUAAUGACGGUACCCGCAGAAGAACGCCCCGGCUAACUUCGCGCCAGCAGCCGC
rnacentral:rRNA from 1 species